CUAAGGGCCCGCUUGGAUUGUCGUUUUCAGGGCAAAUACACCGGUAAAAUAUACCUCCGUAUGGAAAAUUCAGACCGGCUACGCAUGGCUGCUUGGUUGAUCGUUUUUGGUCCGUAAUAUUUACACAGGCGAGGUCGACGGCUUCGCCGCGACGCCGCCGCAACCACCACGGACCGGCAGGCUCUGGCGCCAGCGUCAAUGAUGGAGUGCCGGCGGCGAUGAUUGAUUCUGGCGCCGGCGAGGCGCCGGCGACGUUGACCGCGACGGCGGCUUGGUGAUGACGGGGUUGUUCAUGCGCGUCGCUAUAGGAUCCGCACCACGCGUCAGAUCUCCUUGUUGAUGCCGAUGACCUAGUCCAGCUCGCCCGCCACCGCGCGACUUCUCCGCCGGCUGCGCACGGCCGACGGCCUUGACCAGAGAGGUGGAGAUCGGGAUGGUGUCGGGCACCAGGAACUGCAAGGGCAGCCUCUUUAGCGGGGGGAGGGGGUGGACGGGAGCGGCGGCGACGGCGGCAGCUUCCUGAUCCAUUCAUCCCCCACGACAGCCAAUGAGGAAGAAGACGCGUGAUUAUGGACGUGGGAACCGUGAAGGGGAAGGACAGAAUUUACAAGCGGAAAUUGUAUCCGGCUGUAAAUUACUGGAGACCAGUAUUAUGCGGUUGUAACUUGUUCCGACUGUAAGAUUUUUUCGGGGCUUCCAAGCGGGGCCUAACAAUGAAUUGUUUUUCUCCUGUAUGUAUAUGCGCUCACACGAAUCUUACGAAGAAUUGAUCAAUCGUGAACUACAAAGAAAGAAGAACCGAUGGAAGAACGCAGCGCCAGCCUCCAUCGAUUCAAGAAUUGGAAGCCUCGAACACACUCUGCCAAAGGACAGAAAAUCAAUCAAUUGAGCGGAUUUAUCAUACUCCAAGCAGGAACAUCAGAACUUGAAAUUGGGCACAAUUUUCAAUUACACAAGGAAGACGCACAGAAAAGGAUAUGGGCGUUGGCAUCCAGGAUCACUCGAUCGAAAAUCCAUACCAAUAACUG